rnacentral:rRNA from 1 species
UACGUAGGGUGCAAGCGUUGUCCGGAAUUAUUGGGCGUAAAGAGCGUGUAGGCGGCCCGAUUAGUCCGCUGUGAAAGUCCAGGGCUCAACCCUGGAAUGCCGGUGGAUACUGUCGGGCUAGAGUCCGGAAGGGGCGAGUGGAAUUCCUGGUGUAGUGGUGAAAUGCGCAGAUAUCAGGAGGAACACCAAUGGCGAAGGCAGCUCGCUGGGACGUGACUGACGCUGAGACGCGAAAGCGUGGGGAGCAAACAGG